GUAGCUCAAUUGGCAGAGCAGCUGAUUUGUAAUCAGCAGGUUGCAGGUUCGAUUCCUGUUACUAGCUCCA
rnacentral:tRNA from 1 species